rnacentral:misc_RNA from 1 species
CGCAGGUGGUGAUGUAGCCCC